UAUACAGUGACGUCAUUUUGAAGUCCUUUGAUGAUGAUGGUCUUUAGUAUGUAGCUGAUGAUUGAUGAUGAGAUGUUUGUGUUGUUCUGUGGAGAUCAUUCAAGAACUGAACCUGUUAAACUUAUCUGCACUUAUUUGUGUUCGUCCUACUGCUCAGCCUAAUGCGAAUCGUCAAGAGACACAAGAAAUGUGGAGUUUGAACAAAUGUCUGAAAAAUAAAUUUUUCAGCUUUAGAUAGAUUCUGUUCUGUUCUUCAUUCAUUAUGUUUGUGAACGUAGGUGAAAUUUAACUGUUGGAAAGCAAACAGUGUUUAUUUCUGUAAAAGAGAAUUAGCCUCGUUUACAUGGUGAUAUCGCUGAAAGAAACCAUUACUACCUUAGUUAUGACGUUUGACAUUUGUCAUCAUCCUACAGUCUGUUCACGUCACUCUGAUGCGACUUGGAGACAUUGAAAGUGUGGAGUUUGAACGAGUGGCUGAAAUUCAAUUCUCUCCGCUUUUUUUAGUUCUCAAAUUUAAGCUCAUGCAGUUAAGUUUUAACUCAGGUUUUGUUAUUAACUGAAAAUACCAACAGACUCAGACUUUUAGAACAAACUAAGAGUCAGAUCAGCAGAAACAAAAACACGGAAAUGUUUCCUGUAACUGCGUCGCUCUGCUCGACUUUGCUGUUUGUCGGUGUCUUUGUGUUUGUCUCUGCAGGUGAGGUUUAUAAACCAAACGGUGUUUCCCUCUGAGAUAAAGAGGAAUAAACAUCAGUCUGGUUUACAUGUUACUUCCCAAACAUUUAGUUUCUGAGCGUCUGCAUGUGUGACGGCAUCACGAGGUCUGGUGGUGUCUGUGGAUUUACCCGCUUGGUCAGCGGUCCAGUUUCCAGCACAGAGACUAAGAAACCAGAAAAUCAUCACAGCUGAGCCUGGACAGAAUGUCAUGCUACGAUGUCGAGCUCCAAACAACAGCAGCAGCAUCACCGGUGUAGAGUGGAGCAGAGCUGACCUGUGAGACGAAUAUGUUCUUUUGUUCCGGGAUGACCUGUUUGACCCAGAACAACAGCAUCCAUCUUUUAAGAACCGGGUGGAUCUGCAGGACAGACAGAUGAAGGAUGGAGACGUGUCUCUGAUUCUGAAGAAUGUGACGAUUAAUGAUGAUGGAACAUAUGAGUGCCGUGUCUUCACCAGAGGAACAAACAUAAAGAAAAGAGAAAAUCUGGAUGGUGACCCCAUCAGCAUCAUCUACCUUCAUGUUGAUCCUCCAGGUCAGACAGGACCAUCUGCUGGAGUGAUCGUUGGACUGAUCAUCGGUCUGAGUGCUGUGCUUCUUGUUGCUGCUGUUGUUGGUUUUCUGGUCUACAAAAAACAUAAACAACAGCAGAGUCAGGAUUCAUACCAGCCUCCUGUUGAACUGUAGCAUGUUUGAAGAUGCAAGAGAUGCCUGUAUCACUAAGGCACAAAGCAGAGGUCUGACUUCAGAAACUAAAACAAUCACAUCCAUGUAGAAAACCAGAAGAGUUGCUUCAUUCCAAAGAGAUUUCACAGCAGAGACAAUGUUAAAGAAAAAGCCAACUGUUCCUCAAGUAAGAAAAAAUAACAGAUAAUCAAAAAGAAGAAAAAGGGUGGAGAACAAGUUGCAGUAAAUGUAUCAUCUGAAAAUGGGAAACUGCAAUUAUUUAAAUUGCAGGUUAUUUUAACCAUAAUAUGACAAUCCAAUUUAAGAAAAAAAAAUUCUCCAGCAUCUGUGGAAGAGUCCUAAGAAAUUAGACCCAAAGUGAUCCAAGAAGGCUCAAAGAGAUUUUAACAACAGGCUGCUUGCAGUAGUAAACAAGUUUACAGUAGAUGCUGCAUAAUGUUGAAAGAAUUACUAAAGCUGACACUGUUACUGUUAGCAUUGUUAACAACAUACAUUGUUAUGUUCCAACACUGAGCAUUUUUGGCUUCUGAUGUAUUGGACGAUUGUAAAUUAUUAUGAUUAGUAGUCAUGUUCAGUUUUGAUGACGUGUGUUAAAUGUUUCAAACACACACAGGUCUUCAUCAUUUGAUUGUGUGUUUGGUCUGAGGCAUCUAAAUUAGUCUGUAAAGAAAAAUGAAUGUCAGAUCUGUGUUUGUGAGGUUCGCCCUGCAUAUUUACAUUUCUGUGGAACACACAAAUUACUUUUUCAUAGUUUGGUUCUCAUCAGUAUCCAUGAGCUCAGUGCCCAGAAUGUCACAGAAUCAGAACCAGUGAGUGUGUUUGUUUCAUCUUUAGGUUCAGUUAUCUGUGAGAUCAAACUCAUUCUGAGAGGUUUGAACCACACAGACUGAUCCUCAUGUGGAGAUCAAAGACAGUAACAGUAAUUUUGACAGUGUCAUGAAACCAAAGCUACGAAUGGUUUAUGUAUUAAAUGUUUCCUCUGAUCUGUGAAACUUGAACUUUUCAUUCCAUGAACGACUCUUUGGUUGUUUUUUUUUCUGGUUGUUAUUUCAGUUUAAAUAUUUCAAGAACUUGUUACAUUUGUAAUGUUUUAUUUGACUCUUUUUGAAUCUGUUUUUGCUAAUAAAAA